AUUAGUGUGUAUUUACUCACUGCCAACACUGAUGCUGCUUCUUCCACCAUAAAUCCACUACAGUGAGAAACUCAUUAACAUUCAGUUCAAACACCAUCCAGUGAAAGUUUAAGCUUCUCUCUCUAAUUCACUUAUUUAUGCAUCUUAGACCUAAAAGUAUCUUCCAGAAAAUCUCCAUCUGACCCCAGAAGCUAAAUUCACACAGUAACUCUGUAGUGGUGUGAGAUUUACAGUAAGAUUGGGGGAAUGUGGUAAAGGCGUCUCCAUACUUAGAGGACACUUUGCAUUGGCAGCACAUGCUUCAGUGGUCUGGGAGUGUUUAUAGCGCUGUGACUUUAACACUUCAUGACUGAGAGCUGCUGCUACAGCAACUUCACCCACAGCUACCAUGACUUUGAUCCCCGUCUUCAUCUGGACACUGAUCCUCUGGACUCAAGAAUGCAGAGGUCAAGUCACAGUAACUCAGACUCCUGCAGUGAAAUCUGCUCUUCCAGGAGAAACAGUCACCAUCAACUGUAGAAGCAAUCCGGCAGUGUACAAGGACUCAGAUGGUGAAUGGUUACACUGGUAUCAGCAGAAACCUGGAGAAGCUCCUAAAGUCUUGAUUAAACUUGUGAAUCAGCUACAGUCGGGUAUUCCAGCUCGUUUCAGUGGCAGUGGAUCUGGAUCUGAUUUCACUCUGACCAUCAGUGGAGUCCAGACUGAAGAUGCAGGAGAUUAUUACUGUCAGAGUUGGCAUUCCAUCUCUGGCUACUGGUUCACACAGUGUUAUAGAGGCGUACAAAAACCUCCCUCAGUCAGAUUGUAGAGAGACUGCACUGCUGCAGCUGGGAGCGACUGCAGGUGCUGAGUUGGAGGAUGUGAUACGACACAAUGGCACUCUGUGGAGGAGAGGAACCACACCACACUAACUCACAACUCACAUUACAAAUCUCUCAAUAAUCAUGAUAUGAAUACUGAUUAUUUAGUGUUAUAUUCAAUUAAACAUUCAAUUAAAUACCUUCAGCAAAGAAAGAUUUAGGAUUAGAUCUGAAGGCCUUUAUCAGUCUUUACAAGGAAUAGAUUAUAUUAAUAUACAUAUGAAUUUACCUUCUACCUCAUUUGCUUAUAUUAUUUCUCUUUCUGGCCGCUUGCCGAUAGAAAACCAGUAAUGCCCCAUGUACUGCCAUGGAAUAAUGGUGAUGCACUCAUCCAAAUCUGGCUACCAGAACACAGACACAGCUCAGUCAUGGUGAGGCAGUAUCUCGAGCAGGAACCACAGCUUAGAGUUGGUCUCCUUUAAACCCAAAAUUGAAAUGGUGCACAAGCAAUACAUAUGGUUAAUUGUCUCUUAGGCAUUGUUCUAAAAAAUACUUAAUUGAAGGAUGUACUUUUCAGGUUUUCUAGAUGGUUGUGGUUCUAGUUAUCAUAACUGAAACUGUUUGGUGGAUUUCUUUUUUAGUCUCUAUCACUUAUCCUGCCGCCAUUACUAUCUCUGAUAUCAGUCACUGUUAUUAAUCUAUUCUCAGACUUAGUUUCUGUCUCUAUAACAUGACCUUCUUCAAUUGCCUUCUGACACAAAAUACUUUAACCAUUUUGGCCAUCGUCCUCAUCCAUCCUUCUUCAUCUCUAGGUAUCAGCGUUACCCUGCUGUAUUUUUCAGAUUUUCACUUUGUAUCCUGCACUCUUGCUCUCCCUGCCCUUCAUAUCACCCUCUAUUUGUACUGUACCUCUCCCCCACUUCCUGAACCCUCCACUCUUUCUCUUCUUCCUCCAUAAAUUCCAACACCCUAGGUUUCUGCACAGAUCUCAGCAUGUCUAGCAGACAUCUCAUAAUGAAUGACAGGUCAUCAGCUGAAACGUCGGGGUUACGCAUGUAACCCU